rnacentral:rRNA from 1 species
UACGAAGGGGGCUAGCGUUGCUCGGAAUCACUGGGCGUAAAGCGCACGUAGGCGGAUUGUUAAGUCAGGGGUGAAAUCCUGGAGCUCAACUCCAGAACUGCCUUUGAUACUGGCGAUCUUGAGUCCGGGAGAGGUGAGUGGAACUGCGAGUGUAGAGGUGAAAUUCGUAGAUAUUCGCAAGAACACCAGUGGCGAAGGCGGCUCACUGGCCCGGUACUGACGCUGAGGUGCGAAAGCGUGGGAGCAAACAGG